CUUGUCUGCGCGAGUCUGCAGUAGUAGUCAGUCGGAUACGGUAGUAGCGAGUCGGCAUGCGUCGGCUGUGUGCUCUGGUCGCGACUCUGGUCAGGACUCUGGAGGAUGAGUAUUGUUGUAGAAGGAGCGUCAAUUUACACUUGACGCUUUUUUUGUGGAGCUGCUGCAGAAGCGGCUGCAGGAAGAAGAAGAAAUCCGUGCUGCUCCGGUGCGUCAGUUUACGCUUGACGCGUUUUUUUGAGGAGCUACUGCAGAGACGACUGCAGUGAGAAGAAGAAAGCCACACUGCUACGGUCACUGCAGCGGCCUCCCCGCCAACCAUGAGGCUCCAUACUCCACACCAUGCAGCUCUUCUUAGUCACCAAAUCCUACGCUGCAUGUUGCGGGCGUCGCCAUCAACUCGGCGUCUGCAGAAGGCCGUCUGGCUGCUAAACUGUUCGACGGGGACACCGCGACUACUAACACCUCAAACCACAG